GUAGUCUCGCACAGAUGCAUAUCAAUAAGCGGAGGAAAAGAAACUAACAAGGAUUCCCCUAGUAACGGCGAGUGAAGCGGGAAGAGCUCAGAUUUGAAAUCUUAAAGGGUUUCCCUUUACGAAUUGUAGUUUAAAGAAGUGUUUUCUGUUGAGGUUUUGGUAAAAGUUCUUUGGAAUAGGACAUCAUAGAGGGUGAGAAUCCCGUAUUUGACCUUUACUUUCAACUUUGUGAUACACUUUCAAAGAGUCGGAUUGUUUGGGAAUGCAGUCCAAAAUGGGUGGUAAAUUUCAUCUAAAGCUAAAUAUUGGCGAGAGACCGAUAGCGAACAAGUACCGUGAGGGAAAGAUGAAAAGAACUUUGAAAAGAGAGUUAAACAGUACGUGAAAUUGUCAAAAGGGAAGCGUUUGACACCAGUGUUGUUUUUCUGAAAAUCAAUUAAAGAACUGUUUAUGCUAAGUUGUUUAGACUUUAUCAGCUAACUGUUUAGUUUUGAGCUUUUCUUUAAUGCACUUUUCAGUUAACAAGUCAACAUCAAUUUCUUUUGCUGUAAAAAAGCUUGAGGAAGGUGGCUUGAGAUUCGUCUUAAGUGUUUAUAGCCUCUUGCCUAUGCAGUCGGAGAGAUUGAGGUCUGCAGCGUAGAUCCUUCGGGGCUAAAUGCAUUUGUGCUAAGUUAUAACAUUUUAUAGACAACUUGUUGACUAUGAUUUGUCUUGUAGCUUACUCGCUUAUGUUAUUUUACCUACGCUUAGGAUGUUGACAGCAGUAUAGACUGU
rnacentral:rRNA from 1 species